rnacentral:rRNA from 1 species
CCAGACUCCUACGGGAGGCAGCAGUGGGGGAUAUUGCACAAUGGGGGAAACCCUGAUGCAGCGACGCCGCGUGGGUGAAGAAGCGCCUCGGCGCGUAAAGCCCUGUCAGCAGGGAAGAAAAUGACGGUACCUGAAGAAAAAGCAUCGGCUAACUCCGUGCCAGCAGCCGCGGUAAUACGGAGGAUGCGAGCGUUAUCCGGAUUUAUUGGGUUUAAAGGGUGCGUAGGCGGAAUGCCAAGUCAGCGGUAAAAUCGGGGGGCUCAACCUCGCUCCGCCGUUGAAACUGGCGUUCUUGAGUGGGCGAGAAGUAUGCGGAAUGCGUGGUGUAGCGGUGAAAUGCAUAGAUAUCACGCAGAACUCCGAUUGCGAAGGCAGCAUACCGGCGCCCAACUGACGCUGAAGCACGAAAGCGUGGGUAUCGAACAGGAUUAGAUACCCGCGUAA